CCUCCAGCCUGGAAGCCUGCUGUCCUAACAGGAGACACCUGACUUCACCUGUCUGCAGCACCCAGCACAAAGCCUGAGCAAGGCAGAUGCAGGGAAUGCUUGCAGCAUGAACGAGCCAAUGAGUAAGGCAGCUUCCCAGCAGAGCACAUGUGAAUCAGCAGUAUUUCCCACUCAGGCCAGUCUCAGGCCUGGCACUGGGAAAGAGCACAGAGGUACCAGGCCAGCUGUACCCUUGACUGCAAUCCAGGGUAGUGGCCAAGAACCCAGCCCUAGAGUCAGCCAGACUGGGGCCACAUCCCAGCUUUGCUACCUGGGCCUUCAUUUCAUCAUCUGUAAAAUGGGGACAAAUCAUCAUAGCACCUACCUCAACAGGUGACUGGAAGAAUCAAAUGAAAUUGUCUAUCCAGACCUUUCUACAUCUCCAUCUGCAGACUGGAUCCUACUGCAGGGACCUGACCCGGGAGACUGGGCUUAGGAGCCAAGCCCCAACUUCCAGCCCUUCACAGCUUGUGUUACCAGGAGAACAUGGAAAUGGUGGACAUCUUGCUCAACUGGGAGGCUAUGGAGACAAAUGGUCACUCAUCCCCAACUAGGGUAUAUGGUGCCAAUUCUGGUCUCACUUUCCCAUUGGAGAAAGUCCUGAAGGAUCGGCAUUUUAAGAUUAAAAUCCCAGAACUGCCAAGUUCAUUCAUUCUUCAGUCCAUAAGUAUUCAGAGCACCCACUGUGUGCUGAGGGCUGGGCAAUGCUUUGGGAACAAGGGAGGGAAUGAGACAGGAAGAUGGCUGCUCCAUCAAGUUUAGUACAGUGGGGGAAACAGAAAAUAAACAAGUCAACAUAAAAGUAAACUCUAACUCCUUUCAGAAAGCAUCAGAAGCUACGAAGAGUGUAAAGCAGGCUAAGAAAAUGGAUUGGGCUAUUCACAAUAGCAAAGGCAUGGAAUCAGCCUAGGGGCCCACCACAAGCAGAUUACAUAAAGAAAAUGUGGUAUGUAUAUGCCAUAGAAUACUACACAGUCGUGGCCGGGUGCAGUGGCUCUUGCCUGUAAUCUCAGUACUUUGGGAGGCCAAGACGGGCGGAUCACGAGGUCAAGAGAUCGAGACCAUCCCGGCUAACACAGUGAAACCCCAU
rnacentral:lncRNA from 10 species